rnacentral:lncRNA from 1 species
GCUUUUUCCUUUCUUUCAAAGUCUCCUCAUCUUGAUUUGCCAUGGUGUUUUUUAUUGGCCACUUGCAUUAUUUUUCCAUUGCUGCAUAACAAAUUAGUAGCUUAAAACAAUAGCCAUGUUUUCUGAUAUCGUUCAUGGGUCAGGAGUCCAGGCAUUGCUUAGGUGGGUCCUCUGCUCAAGGCAUCUAAAAUAGUCAGAUGUGUAAAAUCAAAGGAUGGAAUGGGGUUGUCAGGGGCUGAGGUGAGGGGGAUAUGGGAAAUUAUUAAUCAUUGGGCAUAAAGUGUCAGUCAAGCAAGGUUAAUAAGCUCUAGAGAGCUGCUGUGCCUACAGUCAACAAGAAUGAAUUGUAUGCUUAAAAAUUUGCUAGAAGCAUAGAUCUCAUGUUAAAUGUUCUUAUCAUAACACAACAAAAUAAAAUAAAAUAAACUGGAAUUUAAUCUAUUGAUAGACUCUGAUUCUGGAAAUAUUAUAAGGAUUAAAGGAACAUUAUUUUUCUGAGAUUUAUGCUGAAAGUCUUUCAGUUUCUCUAUGAAAGUGAGAAAGGCAAUGAAUAUGGAAAACAGCCUGUUUCCUCAUCUAUAUUAAUACUUAGCUCACAGGGUUCUGGUAAUGAUGAAGUGAGAUAGUGGAAGUCCUUCAUAAGUUGUAAAGUGCUAUUCAGUAUAAGAAGACAUUAGUGUUAAAAUUAAUGAAAACAACACAUCAACAAAUUACUUUUUUUUAUUAGCAAUCCUAUUUGCCAAUGAAAAAUGAAGCCAUAAUUUUAGUAAGAUCCUGCCUCUCACACUGGUUUUUAGAGGCGGACAGUCGGAACUCACACUGUGAUCAGUGAGGUAGGAAGAGGGCACCAAGAAAUCACUGCAGAAAAGAAGCACUAUAAUAGUUUCCCCUGAAAAUGUAAGUUCUGCCCUCCGACAUACUUGGCUUCUGGCUAUUACAGAGAAUAUCAAGGAUAUAGAGUACUUUGCUAACAAGAAGCAUGCAUGUUCAUACUCAGGACUUCUUUUUUUUUUUUUUUUUUUUUUUGUGGAGAUGGAGUCUCACUUUUGUCACCCAUGCUGGACUUUCUCAGGAGAUUACAAAGAUCUUUUACCUCAGGUUAACAAACACUAUCCCAGAGUACUCAGAAAUAGUCUUAAAAAGGUUGGAUAUGCAAGAAACAAUUUUCAGGCCAACUCUUUUGACAAUAGACUCCUCUGUAUCUAAAGCAAUCCACUAUUUGCUGCCUCUUAUACACAAAUGUGAUAUACAAAAUCCUUGUUCAACCUGA